UACGAAGGGUGAUCUGAAGAGACAGACAGA
rnacentral:piRNA from 1 species